ACACAGCACUUGCUGGUAUCUGGUGG
rnacentral:piRNA from 1 species